CCAUUGAGUUAGGAGAAGAAGUUAUAAUGGAGGUCUUUAAAGGCUUUUCCGUGCACUCCGUGAUCACUCAUUUCUAUAUGAGGAGCGAACUUGAAUAUGACGAACCUGAGCUCCUAGUGGACAACGAUGAUCCACCAACCCCUGAAGUGAUGAACGAGGUAUGGAAGAAUAAGAAAGUUGAAGAAGAGGAACCGAUAGAGGAUUAAGAUUUUGGCCACUUCAAAAUUACACCAGGUGCAAUUUAAGAAAUUUUUUUUAGAGAUUUCUGAAAAUUUCAAUUAAGAAUGUUCGUGGGCUUAUUUUAGGUUUGUUUUAAAUGGGCUUUGGGCUAUUUGAAAACAUAAAGACCCUAUUGUUAAAACCCUAAGGUAUUUUAAAUGAAAAACAAAAAGGAAGCCCUAAUCCUCUCCCCUCAUUUGCGAUUUUCAUCCCAAAAAGUCCCUAACUUGUUUUCAAGUUUCUCUCAUAAAAUCUUCAAGAAUACCAAAAAUCUCUCACACUCCUCUCAUUUUCGGCUAAGUUAGGUUAGGGUUGAGGAAGUUUUUCGUUCUUUUUCAAGCAAAGUGCCAAGAUUCCAUAGAAGGCUCCUCCUCCUCCAAGUCAUGCGACAAAGAGAAAGGAAAGAAGAAGGUGAUGCUUCCACCACCUACUCCUCCAGGUAUGAUCCCUCUUAAACCCCCUCAUAUCUCUAAUGAAAGGUUAAUUUUUUAUCCUAGAACACAAAGAAAGAAACUAGAGGAAGCUUUGAGAAUGAAAUCUAGAAAGAACCUAUUAAUAAGCAGUGAAAGUUCUGAAAAAAUUUACUUUAAAACCUCAAGUUGCUAGGGUUAAUGAAGGAGGCCGUAAUGAAAAGAAAUUGGAAGAGUUUAGCAAGGUCUACCUAAAAAAAAUCAAUCUGUGGGUGAUAAAGGUUCUAUUUAGAAGCUAAAAUUGCUAGGAUUAAUGAGAGAAUUAAUAUUGAAAAUAAGAAAAGAGAGAUUAGGGAUAAGGAGCAUGAGUGUAUUUAUGCCAAGAUAGUAGAAUUAAAUGACAAAUGGAAAAUAUUUAUGGAAAAUUCGAGGAAGUUGAGUGAAGAAAUACAAAUUGAAUUAGAUGGUAUGAAUAAUCGUCAUAGGUUGGAUUUUCCUCAAAACAACACCGUGUCCGAAUCCAUGUUGCUAUGGAUGUAGAAGGCUAAAAAUAGGUUAUUGGUGAUUCUGAGCACGACAUAGAGCCAUUGGAGCAUUUGGAUCCGGCCACGGUCAAAAUUCAUAACAAAAUUUCACUUGGCGUAAUUUUGGAGAGCACUCCAUCAGCCACUCUACCAGGUAUUUCGUCUCUCAAUUUUCUAGAUUUUAUUUUGACUAAAAAGCCUUUAGUUUUUUAUGAUUUACAGGAAAAGACAAAGUCAUAAAUCGCCGAAAUUUUGGUGGCCUUGAAUGAAGCAACGGGAGAAAAUCCGUUGUAGGAUGAUGGAAGCUCAGGGUUGGUUGGAUGCUAGUAGAGAUGAUAAGGAUAUUGGAGAUUUACCCCAAGAAGUCUAUAGAGAAGAGUGUGAGGAAGAAGAGGGAAACGACGAUAUCUCCCAGUUUGAAGUGCGUAUGUGCACUCUGGUGCAUGAGUCGCAGCAAGAUGAGGAGGAAGCCCCUGUUCAAAUGGAAGAAGGAGCAUCUGGCCCUGAGGAUGUCCCAAAUGAAGCCAUAGAGGAAUCAUCUUCCUCUUCUUCAAAAGGUAUGACCCCUUCUUUUUCAAGCAUGAAUGUUUCAGACCAAAUUUCAUUGCUGCUGCAGAUAACUUAGACGAAGAGGUAUAUUUGACCAAAAUGGUGAAGAAAGAAAAUAAAACAAAAAAUUCAGCCUAAAUUGUGCCGGYGCAAUUUCAAGACCACGCACCUUGGUCGCUGUAGCACGAUUGGCCACCCAAAAAGCAGCUGAGGCUAGUCCAUCUAAAAAAGCCAUGAGGCCUAGACCAUUUGGAGAGGCAAAAGAGCAACUUGAAAAGGCUAAUGAAGAGGAACCCGCUACUACCAAACAACAACCAACGAGGGCCAAAAGAGUAAGGAUAGAAGUAAAGAAACCUGACUUUACAGCCCGAGGACUCUUGGUUGAAAAAAGAUUUGAUGAGGAGCAGGAGUUCGUGAUAGAUAAUGUCAAAUGACAGCUUGUGGAGCAUGGUUGGGAGACGGUGUUUGCCCCACCUAUGCAUGUGUCGGAGGCCUUGGUAAGAGAAUUCUAUGAUGCCAUCCACCCAAACCGAGGAGGUGCUGUGAGGUAAGGGGUAAAGUGGUAAGAUUUCUCCUUUGAUUAUUAACACUCACUAUGGAUUGUUGGAUGCGUUUAAUGCAGUAGGUAAUGAGAUUGUGGUGCAUCCGAUGGACGAACAAGUGGAGGAGGCGUGUAAGCUCAUAUGUAGACCACGCAAGACAUGAACCGUCUCAUCCAAAGGGAAGCUUUAAUUAAUACCGCUUGAUAUCAAUGAACAAGGCACCGUGUUGAGUUAUGUGGUGAAGAACCGAUUGAUCCCUACUUCACAUGAUUCCUCCAUCAAGUGUAGUAGGUUGAUGAUGGUGUUUAUUCUAAUGAAGGUCAUUGAGUUCAACUUUGGUGAACUCAUAAAGAAUGAGAUUUGGGUUUGUGCUGAGAAAAUGGUAGGUCCACUUGUUUUUUCUGCCUUAUAACAAAGUUAUAUUUGAAAGCAGAUGUAGAGGUCGAUGAUGAGGAUGUAGUGACGCCUAAGAAGCCGGCCACGUCUAUAAGGAGAGUUCGGGGAUACUCGAUCGUUUGUGAGGAAGAUUCUCCCACUACUGUCGUGGAUCCCGUGACUCGAGGUGUGGUUACUAGAGAACAAUACAACGAGUUAAGGCACAAAUAUGAUCUUCUCUUGGCUAUUCAACAUGGCACAUGUAAGUUUCUCAAGGAGCUUUAUGGAGAUGGUGCACUCUCCCCGAUGAGCUAAAGGCCGAUUUGCCUUCUUCUUCACGACCUAUCAUUGCUUCCACCGUUGAUGAUUCUUCAAAUGAUGAUUAGGGGAGUAUCUCUCUCUCUUUUCUUUGAUACUAGAUGUUUUGGAUCUUGAUCUUAUAUGUUAGUUUAUUUAGGUUGUUUUUGUGCUUCUAGUUUGCUUGUUAGGUUGUUUAGGUUAGUUUUAGUCUUAGGAUAGUUUUUUUAGGAUGUUGUGUUGUUAGUAAGAAAUAUCGGUUGUGUUUCUGCAUAUCGCUUUAAGUUCAAACUUUGCAUGCUUCUUUGUUCUAGCUACAAGUUUGUGCUUAGCUUCUUCAACGACAUCUUUUCUAAACUUCUAACAUGCUCAUCUUUUUAAGGAAAAGAUUUCCUUUGUACUUUACAGUUUGUGUCUUUUUGUUUGAGAAAGAACAUGCUUUUUACGUUUCGAAAAAAAGAGUCAUAAAGAAAAUGCAAGGAAUAAAAAAGAGUCAUAUGCACAAAAAAAAAUUCCAAAAGAAGAAAAUCAAGUAAAAAAAGAGUCUUGAGAGAAAAUAAGAGUGGAGGAAAGAAAAGAAAAAUAAAAGUGUGAGAAACACAAGAGUGGUAAAAUAACAUGAACGACAAGAAAAUGCACUCAUUUUUUCUCGAGUCCCACUAUAGACGCUCAUUUAUCUUUAAAUGGGUGGCGUUUGAAUCUUGGAGGGUAGCAGCCUACAAAAUUAAGGUGACUUCGUGAAAUCCAUUGUCGACAUCAUUUUAUGUUGAGUUGCUACCUAAAGAGUUUCUAUGAGUGGCUUAGUUGGAAAUCGAUGUUAGUGAGUGGAAAAUCUUAGGGGCUAGAAGCCGGUCCAUGUGUCUUCUUGAUGUAAAACUUUUCAAUCAAAACAAAAGUGUGCAUAUUCCUUAGUUUUGUAAAAUGUUUUGUGUUUUAGAAAAGAAGGAGAUUAGAAUCAUUUUUUAUUUUCAAAACAAGAAUGGUCUAUGGAAUGUUAGCUUGAGAUUAAAGUUAAGAAGUUUAGCUUGUGGAGUCCUUCCUGAGACGAAUAUGAUUCAUUUACUUAGAAUCUUUGGAUUGCUGCUCAUUAAUCUUUUUAGCAUGUUGGCUGUUUUGGGUUUAUUGUUGUUAUGUUUGCUUGAGGACAAGCAAAUGGCUAGGUUUGGGGAUGUGUUAGGGUUGACUUUUUACUGCAAAAAUAUGACUCGGUAGGCCUGUUUGACCAUAAACAUGAAUACUUUCCUAUCAAUAUUAGCUAAGCAGGCUUACAUGUUCUUAAAGUAAAACAUGCAUAGAACAUUUCUGGAUAAUUUGCAAUAUAUGGUAYUUUGAGAAAAAUAUGAGAAAAACAUAGUCAAAGUUGGAAGAAAAUUAUAGUUUUCUGUUUUGCAGGAAUUAUGCCUGGUGCAAUUUUGGUGGUCAACCUUCCCAAAACGUGAGUUUCACUUAAUGAAGGGCAAGUGAGUCAUUUCAUAUAUGUUUAAAUGAAGCAAAAUCAUGAGUCCAAGUCGGAGAGCUUGUUUGAAGAAUCUUAACACAUUUCCUCCUAAAUUGGUGGGAAGUUCAACCUUUUUGAAGGCCUAUAAAGAAAGCCUCUCCCUCAGCACUUCAUCAUCCCUUUCCAUCCCGUUUUCUUCAGCAUUUGUAGCUUUAGUUUUUGUUCAUUAGCUUUAGAGUUCGUUGGAUUUAUUCUCUAGUUGUUAUUUCUUUGUAUUUCCAACUUCUACUUGUCGUUUCAAUUUUAAUUAAAGUUCUUUCUUUCGUUC